AUUGAACGCUGGCGGCAUGCUUUACACAUGCAAGUCGAACGGCAGCGCGGACUUUGGUCUGGCGGCGAGUGGCGAACGGGUGAGUAAUAUAUCGGAACGUACCCAAGAGUGGGGGAUAACGUAGCGAAAGUUACGCUAAUACCGCAUACGAUCUAAGGAUGAAAGCAGGGGAUCGCAAGACCUUGUGCUCCUGGAGCGGCCGAUAUCUGAUUAGCUAGUUGGUGAGGUAACGGCCCACCAAGUCUACGAUCAGUAGCUGAUGAGAGAGCAUGAUCAGCCACACGGGCACUGAGACACGGGCCCGACUCCUACGGGAGGCAGCAGUAAGGAAUAUUGGACAAUGGACGCAAGUCUGAUCCAGCCAUGCCGCGUGAAGGAUUAAGGUCCUCUGGAUUGUAAACUUCUUUUAUAAGGGACGAAAAAAGGCUUUUCUAAGUCGUCUGACGGUACCUUAUGAAUAGGCACCGGCUAACUCCGUGCCAGCCGCCGCAGUAAAAC
rnacentral:rRNA from 1 species